rnacentral:rRNA from 1 species
UACGAAGGGGCUAGCGUUGCUCGGAAUCACUGGGCGUAAAGGGUGCGUAGGCGGGUCUUUAAGUCAGGGGUGAAAUCCUGGAGCUCAACUCCAGAACUGCCUUUGAUACUGAGGAUCUUGAGUUCGGGAGAGGUGAGUGGAACUGCGAGUGUAGAGGUGAAAUUCGUAGAUAUUCGCAAGAACACCAGUGGCGAAGGCGGCUCACUGGCCCGAUACUGACGCUGAGGCACGAAAGCGUGGGGAGCAAACA